UAACAAUGAUUCCCCUAGUAACGGCGAGUGAACAGGGAAAAGCUCAAAGUUGGAACCUCCUGGUCCUAGAUCAGGCGGAUUGUAAACUAAAGCUCUUGGGUAGUACGGUUGGCCUGAUAAAAAAGUUCUCUGGAAAGAGGCGACAUAGAGGGUGAUAUCCCCGUCUUUGGUCAGAGCUCAAUCAUGCGUUUGCCCUUUAGCGAAGAGUCAGGUUGUUUGGGAAUGCAGCCUAAAAUGGGAGGUAAAUCUCUCCUAAAGCUAAAUAUUGACGAAAGACCGAUAGCGAACAAGUACCGUGAGGGAAAGAUGAAAAGCACUUUGAAAAGAGGGUCAAAAAGUACGUGAAAUUGCUGAAAGGGAACCGUAUGAAAUCAGUCUGAUGUGUUGGUAAUCAAUCUGGAUCUCGAUCUGGAUGCACUUGCCGAUGUAUUAGCCUGCGACAGUUUGAUCUGGAGGAAAAAAGAUGGGAGAAUGUGGCCUUGGCUUCGGUCAAGGUGUUAUAGCUCCUGUCAAAAUACUUUGGAUUGGACUGAGGACUGCAGCGAGCCGCAAGGUAAAGGUCUCGGGCGCUUGCUCUGGUUAUGUAAGAAAUCUCUGCUUCGGGUGGUAUCUUGCCUAAUCGGGACAACACGCUUGUUUCUCUUUUUUCUCGCUUAGGUCGUAGGCAUAAUGAUUUUAUAUGACCCGUCUUGAAACACGGACCAA
rnacentral:rRNA from 1 species